CUAUAUCACUGGCUGUCCUUGAACUCACUAUGUAGGGCACGUUGACCUCAAAUGCACAAAGAGGUACCUGCCUCUGCCUCUCAAGUUCUAUGAUCAAAGGUGUGUGCCACUGUGUAGAGAAUUUUUUUUUUGAAGAAAAAAAAAUAGCAAGGAAAUCUGGUACUUUCUAUCUAAAUGGCUUCAAACAAAAGAAUGUUAGUAAGAAUAUUUUUAUGGAAUUAUUUAUUUAAUGUAUAUGUGUACACUGUAGCUGUCCUCAGACACACCAGAAAAGGGCAUCCAAUCCCAUUACAGAUGGUUGUGAGCCACCAUGUGGUUACUGGGAACUGAACUCAGGACCUCUGGAAGAGCUGUCAAUGCUCUUAACUGCUGAACCACCUCUCCAGCCCUCUUUAUCAAUUUCCAUUUUUCCAUACUUCCCUUUUUUUUCUUUUUCUGCAAAAAGCUAAUUUCAUUAUUAUUGCACUCCUAAAUUCCAAACUGUUGUUACAACUUUUUUCCUCUUAGACAUGAUAGAGGUAUCAUAUUUGCUACUGGUUUUACCUAGCUUCUAAGAUUUGUAUCUGUUAGUCUGCACAUGAACAUAGGAUGUGUCUGUAUGUGUCUCUGUGUGUCUGCGUGUAUCUGUGUGUGCAUGUAUGCUUUUAUGUGUAUAGUCUUUAUGUGUGUGCCUUUGUGUGUAUAUGUGCUGUGUGUGUUUGUGUGUGUACUCUUGUAUGUGUGCUCUUGUGUGUGCUGUGUGUGCUCUGGUGAGUGUGUGUCUGUGUCUGUGAGUGUGUGAGUGUGUGUGUGUGUGUGUGUGUGUGCGUGUAUCUUAGGGUUUACUGCUGUGAACAGACACCAUGAUCAAGGCAACCCUUAUAAGGCCAACAUUUAAUUGGGGCUGGCUUACAGGUUCAGAGGUUCAGUCCAUUAUCAAGGCAGGAACAUGGCAGCGUCCAGGCAGGCAUGGUACAGAAGGAGCUGAGAGUUCUACAUCUUCAUCUGAAGGCUGCUGGCAGAAUAACGACUUCCAGGCAGCUAGGAUGAGGGUCUUAAAGCCCAUACCCACAGUGACACACCUCCUCCAACAAGGCCACACCUCCUAAUAGUGCCACUCCCUGAGCCAAGCACAUCCAAACCAUCACAGUUUGUAUGGGAUAUGUAUGUGUACGCGGGCGUGCACAUGCGCACGCACAGGCCUAGAGUCUUCAGAUCCCCCUAGAGCUUGAAUUACAGGCUGUUGUGAGUCACCUGAUAUGGGCGCUAAGAACCAAACUAGGGUUCUUUACCAGAGCAACAGUUGUUCUUAACUUCUGAGCCAUUUCUCCAGCCCCACAAGUCUCCGUGUUGUUUGUUUGUUUGUUUGUUUGUUUGUUUGUUUGUUUGUUUGUUUUUGAGACAGGCCUCUCUGCCUACCCUGGUUGCCCUAGAGCUUGCCAUAUAGACUGGCUCCAAACUCCCAUAGAUCCACCUGCCUCUGCCUCCCGAGUGCUGGAAGGGUGCCCUCAUUAGCUUGUUUUUUAAUGGUCCCUACAAGAACAGACUUGUCAGACUGUAUCUUGGGGAGAGUACAUGGGAUAAAAGAGGGGAUUGUGUUAGGAAUCUGGAGUCCAAGCUGUCCUACUAUCUUGUAUAAAGUAUUGGAAUGAGUACUUUGUUUCCAGGGAGACUAUGCCUCAAGACUCAACCAGUGUUGCUUUUGGUGGCAAAAAGAGAUGUCCCCGGAGCUUCCCACACAAGGCCUUCACCCACACCUUCAGCCACAGCUCCCAGUCCUAUCAUCUUCGAAAUUAUAUCAGAGCACGUAUCAAAUAGACAUCAUCCUCUCCCAAGCACUGGGGAGAAAAAGAUUCUUCUUUCUGGAAAUGUCUGUAAAUUUCCUAAAGUAUCUAUUACACAGAUUGAAUUUAAUUAGGAUUUUUUUUCCUUCUUGUUUUGUGUGUGACCAAGGCUGUUCAUGUGUGAGGGGGUACAUCUGUACCCAGAAAUGCUGAGGAUGGAGGUCAGCUGCCAGUGCCACUGUUCAGGUGUCCUCUACCCUGUCUUAUUUUUUUUAAGAUUUAUUUAUUUAUUGUAUAUUAUAAGUACACCGUAGCUGUCUUCAGAUACACCAGAAGAGGGUAUCAGGUCCCAUUACAGAUGGCUGUGAGCCAUCAUGUGGUUGCUGGGAUUUGAACUCAGGACCUCUGGAAGAGCAUCAGUGCUCCCAAACACUGAGCCAUCUCUCUACCCUGUUUUAUGAGCCAAGAACCUAUCACUGGGCUGAGUCUUGAACAUUACUUUAUGCAAGCCGGCCUUCAUGCUCCAGUGAUCCAGGGCUUAGAUCGCAAGGGUGUUUGGGGCCCCUUAGGUCCUGGUAUGUCGGAACACAGUCCAAGAGUGUACUCUGGUGAGGAGAAGUCUAAGUACUCGUGGGGGGAAAAAAAAAAAAACACCAAGAAAACAAGAGCCCUGUGACCUAAUUUUCUUCAGAACACAGAACUGCUCUAAGCAUGUGUUUCCCGGCCCCUCCACGGUAUAGCACACCGGAGUCAGUUUACUUCCGGCUGCUGUUGUUUGUUUAUAAACCUCUCUGGAAAGACACGUUUUUGCCAUCUGCAGCUUGUCCUUGUGAGUGUGCACAUGUGACCCCUGUUUGAAUCACUCAUGUGACUCCUCUUACCCUCAGAGUACAAAUAAUCUGCAACUCUAAAUAAAGCUGGCUGUUCCUGAGAUGUUAAUCUGUCUCACUACUGGCCCCCAGGUCAAGUCCCAUGUUCUCUAGAGCAAUAAACACUGGCACUCACGCAGCAAGGCAGAUAUUAACAGACCUGCCUCCCCAGCCUAACUUCCAUGUCUUUGAAGACAGAGGGUUCAAGAUAAAGAAUUCAGUGGUUUGCUGUGCAUUUCCCUCGUUGUUGAGUUUGUCUCUGCAGUCAAAGUACCUAAACCAUUAGCAGAGCGGGACUUGGGCCCAUGCUUUAUGACGUUCCAGUGCAUUGUGGCGUGCAGGGCAGAAUGGAACACAGCCUUUGCUUUUGCUGGGUGAGAGAUAGCAGUGGUGGGGGUGCUCACUCUCUGUUCUUGCAGAGAACAGGGGUUUGAUUCCCAACGCCCAAGAGGAGGCUCACAGGCGCAGUUGCAGAGGACCCCAUGCCUCUCCUGCCUGGCUUCCUCCUUGCUCUCUUGUUUUAUCAAUAACUAAAAGGAUUCCUUUAUUCUGCUCUUUAAAACCCUAGAAGCCAAGAACCGAACCACAUUGCCUUCUUAUUCUUCCACACUUGUGAACCUCUCCACAGAUGCCAUCCUCUUGGGUGGCUUUAUUCUGAGGGAAUCUGACAGUGGUACCCACGAUGGUGCAUUUUCCUAAACACCUGGUGCGUGUGCCCCUGCUCAGCCACACCCUGGUACUGAGGUUUCCCAUUCCUUCAGCAGCAUGUAUUCACCGACAUGGAGAUAAAACUUAGUAGCAACAUCUUCAAAUGCUAUGCUCCCUGUGUGCAGGGUGAUUCCUGGACCAUCCUACUUCCCCAGCCCUGCAUCCCUGCCCUGUGUGGCUACACAGGUCUUCCUAUGGAAACAUGGAGUUAAUCCCCCUACACACACCUCUUACACCUCAGCUGGCCACAUGGCUUGCCUUAUGAAUAGCAUGGAGCAAAGACCAGAGCCAGCAACUCCUAAAUAUCACACUUCUUACUCCACUGGGCUAUGUAACCAUAGAUAAGUUACUUAACUGUGCCUCUGUCUUUCCACCUGUAAAAUGGGCAAGUAACGGCAGCACCAUCAUGAUGUUUCAGUGCUUAGAGCUGUCAUUGACACAAAGUAAAUGCUAAGUGUUUAUUAAAUAUACAAAAGGCAGGUCCUGGUGCCUCUUCACAGCAAAGAACCCAAGACUGUGCCGGUGAAUGUCCUUUGUAAAGGAAUUUGAAAAGCCGAAAAAAUUUGAAUAUUAACUUCUCAAUGGUGUUUACCAAAAAGAGGAAAUUUAAAUCUGCAAUGUAUUGACAUUUCAAAUUUUGAAAAUUUGAACGUUCAGUGAAGAAAGAGGAUUUCCAGGAAUUACUUCCUGUUGUGUGACAGGCUUUGCCUGGGGAGACAAAACCCGUAUGUGUCUACUCACCCCAGCAAGGGAAUCCAUCACAGACCAAAGUGCACGCAGCACCAAAGUCCAACUUGAACCAAUGAGUAUUUUACUGGGGGCUGGGGGUCACUUACAGGAGUAGAAACAACUCAAAGUCGGCUGCAUCACCAAAGCCCACCGAGCAGAGUCAAGCUCACAAGCUGGGAACACACCGCACAGCCUGCGGGCAGCUCAGCGGGUCAGAACGUGGUCUUUCCAGUGGUUCAAUGGGUCUGAGCCUCUUCCAGGCAGCUGGGCUUACCUCAACCUUCUUUGCAGCUUGACUGGUCUGGCAGUGAUUGGCAGCAGCCUUCACCACUUACAUUCUUCGGGGAGGGAGGGACUUGGUGAACCUGGUGCGUUUCAGGGACUUGCUGAAGCUAGUUUGUAUUGUCUGCUUCCUGUGUUCGUGGAACUUUCCUUCAAGGUGGAGUGUUUUAUCCCGUUUGAUUUCCUAGCAGAAUACCCCCAUGUUUUCACUUCCCUUUACAUCCUACGUCUUAAGAAGUUUCCUUCCAAGAUGGAAGGUUUUAACCUCGAAAGAAACAGGUACACCCUCCCUUUCUGGCUCUGAAGAGCCCCAACUCCAUCUUGUUUGUGCGCACCUGCUCGACCAGAGCUACUCCCUGACGAGGUUGCUCACCCAGCCACCUAAGAGAGGAGAGAGAGAGACCAACAGCUCCUCUCUUUACCAGAGCUAAGUCCCCAGUCCACAAACAUCAGUAAUUUCAGGAUCCAAAAUAAACUCAAAACUCUGGGUCUCCUAGACUAGUGCGUGCUCAAGAUGGUGACGGAGCUGCAGACAAUUAUCUGAAACUUGAGGAGUGCAGUCCCUGGAGCGUCCCCUAUGGUGUAAUGAUAGUGAGAGCAGACAGUUUCACUCAUUCCUGUUCUUAGUUCAAAUGCCUUUCGGGUUUCGUUAUUUAGAAUAUUCGUAAGAAAGUCUGAAGGAGCAAAGUAUUAGUCGAGAUCAAAGAUCAGCCAACUACAGCAUAAGCCACACCUGCCCCCGAUUUUUGUUGACAAGGUUUAUUGGAGCACAGGUGUAUCUGUGUACAUAUUACUCUUGGCUGCUUCAGUGGAACCAUGACAGAAAAGAGAGCUACUGGGUAUUCAUGCCCUUGCUCAGUAUCUCCCAGCAAUCCCCAGUCACAGAAGACCACACUGUGGUAUAAGACCAUCCCCAAAGCUCAGAGGUUUAACAUGUUUCUCACUCCCACAAAGCCAGCUGUCCUUCUGGACAAACCUCCAAGUUUGCAGUGCAUCCUGAAAUGGUGCACAGAGCAUCUGCAGGGCUGAGGGAAAGAACAGGAGAAGUUCUCACACCCAGUCUUCCACACCACGGACCAGGGCACCUACUCCAGGCCCAAUAACAAUCCAAACAACUCCACCUCCAGAAACACAAGAGAUGAGAAAUGACACACAGCCCCAGGCCUGGGAGCAAAGAAAACGAAUGCGGAUGUUCAAAAUGUAGCAAAGCAAAUAACGUUGGUUGUCAACUUGAUCGGACCUAGAAUCAGAAAGGGUUGUGGGCACCCUACUGGGAUUAGCCAUUGUAAGUUAACCAGGGUAGGGAAGCCUGGUCUAAUUGGGAGAUAGCGCUCCCAUGGCUGAGUUUUGGGAUGAAGGAAAAGAAAUCAAAUAGAGUAGCAACGUUCCUGUUCCCUGACUGUAGAUGAAUUCAGCACGAGCCCACAAGUUCCCGCCCCUAGGACUCCCACACACACAUGCAAAGUUCCCGCCCUCCUCCUCCUCCGCAAGGAGUGAGACUCUAGUACUUUGAGCCAAAAUAAACCCUCCUUUCCUUGAGUUGCUUUUGUCAAAGUAUUUUAUCACCGUGAUAGGAACUGUAACUAAGACAGAUGGUGUCAUCGUUGCAGAAUUUCUAGGAAACUGAGUCACUGAGCCGAAGCCGUGUUCCACCCGGGAAAGAAAGGUUUAAUUCGCUGGCUCCGAAACCGCACUGUAGUGGUGGCAGUCCUAAGCCUCGGUCCAGUAUUUUUAUUAGGUGGGAGUAUGGAAGCAACCCAACAUGGGGGUGGCUAGGCAGUGUUAAAAGUCAAUUACCACACCUCCUUGGUACCUUAAGUGGAGAUGCCACAAGUGGGAGGGGACAGCUCGAUGGAACUCGAGCCCUGGGGAAUUUCCGUUGUUUUAACACGUGGCAGGCAGUUUGAGAUUCUGCACCCCAUUCUCUCCUCUUCUUUGUCAGAAUCCGUUAUGACCCCUCUCAAGGAACCUCUGGUGCUGGUGGAGGCCAUGGAGUCCACCUGCUACUCUCCUGUAUCUAGUGACAAAACUUAGGUAUGGACUCAACAAUACAUAUCAGGAGAAUCAUGCCCAAAGGCCCCUAUUAGGGGCGGGAGUGGAAGCCGACUUGGGUAUCACCCCAGGAAGAUCCUUUUGUCUUGCCUCGGACCUUGACGUUUUCCACCAGCUGCCUGGCAUUUUCUUUACGAUCCCUGAGUGGUUUGUGCAGAAACAACCAUCUUUUUUCCUCUAAAGACACACAUCACCUUUUCAGCUACUAUUUUUGUAGGGUUGCUGGGGGAUGGCGUCUUUCUGGUUCUGCAGGGUGACUAUACUCUGCUGGGCUAGCCUGAGGCCCUCCUCCAUUUGAUUGGACAGCUGGCUAUGCCGGACCUGUUGGAUCCUGAGCUCAGUCGCUCCUGUGGCAGUAACGCCAUUGAGGGCCAUCUCCAAUAACACUGAGAGUAAGAUGGGAUUUCUCUCUUUCCUGUGGUGAGGGCCCUAGUAUUGUUCUACCCCUGGUACAAGGAGAAUAUCUCAAGCCCUGGGGAAUUUCCGUUGCUUUAACACGUGGCAGGCAGUUUGAGAUUCUGCACCCCAUUCUCUCCUCCUCUUUGUCAGAAUCCGUUAUGACCCCUCUCAAGGAACCUCUGGUGCUGGUGGAGGCUUGGUGUCAUCCUGCAAACCCACACUGGGUAACAGCCAGCAAUUACAGUCGACAACAGGUUGGCAGCACAAGCCAUGUACCCCGUAACAUGUCUGGAGGUGGCAGAUGGGACACGGAUGCCCCAUUCCAAGUGGCAGGAUGAAGUUUGGUGACGCUCAGAACUGUCAGAACACAGUCCCACAGUCUGAGAAUGGGGUCAUGGGAUGGGAACUCUGAGCGCUUGUGAGAAAACUCCAAGAAAACAAGACAAGGGCUUUGUGACCUGAGUUUCCUCGAAAGCAAGUACUAAUUCUUGGGUUGUGCUUUCGAUCCCCUCCCAGGUUUGCACUUGGGAAACAAAGUAAGCUUACUUUAUUCCUGACAACUGGCUACUGUUACCUGUUUAUGUGCCUCCUGGAAAAACAUGCUUUUGCCAUGUGUGACUUGUUGUGACUGUGCAGUUUAGUCAAAUGACUCUUCUUAACCCACGGAGUCUAAAUUGUCUGGUGCUCUGAAUAAAGCUGGCUGUUGCGUGAGACAUUA